GCGUGAGUGAUGAAGCCCUAGGGUUGUAAAGCUCUUUUGUGCGGGAAGAUAAUGACGGUACCGCAUGAAUAAGCCCCGGCUAAGUUCGUGCCAGCAGCCGCGGUAAUACGAAGGGGGCUAGCGUUGCUCGGAAUCACUGGGCGUAAAGGGUGCGUAGGCGGGUCUUUAAGUCAGGGGUGAAAUCCUGGAGCUCAACUCCGAAACUGCCUUUGAUACUGAAGAUCUGGAGUUCGGGAGAGGUGAGUGGAACUGCGAGUGUAAAGGUGAAAUUCGAAGAUCUUCGCAAGAACACCAGUGGCGAAAGCGGCUCACUGGCCCGAUACUGACGCUGAGGCACGAAAGCGUGGGGAGCAAACAGGAUUAGAUACCCUGGUAGUCCACGCCGAAAACGAUGAAUGCCAGCCGUUAGUGGGUUUACUCACUAGUGGCGCAGCUAAGGCUUUAAGCAUUCCGCCUGGGGAGUACGGUCGCAAGAUUAAAACUCAGAGGAAUUGACGGGGGCCCGCACAAGCGGUGGAGCAUGUGGUUUAAUUCGACGCAACGCGAACAAGCUUACCAGCCCUUGACAUCCCGGUCGCGGACUCCAGAGACGGAGUUCUUCAGUUCGGCUG
rnacentral:rRNA from 1 species